rnacentral:rRNA from 1 species
UGGGGAAUAUUGGACAAUGGGCGAAAGCCUGAUCCAGCCAUGCCGCGUGUGUGAAGAAGGUCUUCGGAUUGUAAAGCACUUUAAGUUGGGAGGAAGGGCAUUAACCUAAUACGUUAGUGUUUUGACGUUACCGACAGAAUAAGCACCGGCUAACUCUGUGCCAGCAGCCGCGGUAAUACAGAGGGGGCAAGCGUUAAUCGGAAUUACUGGGCGUAAAGCGCGCGUAGGUUGUUUGUUAAGUUCGAUGUGAAAUCCCCGGGCUCAACCUGGGAACUGCAUUCAAAACUGACUGACUAGAGUAUGGUAGAGGGUGGUGGAAUUUCCUGUGUAGCGGUGAAAUGCGUAGAUAUAGGAAGGAACACCAGUGGCGAAGGCGACCACCUGGACUAAUACUGACACUGAGGUGCGAAAGCGUGGGGAGCAAACA